rnacentral:misc_RNA from 1 species
CAAAGGAAAUAUGUACUAGUAUAUGAUUUAUAAGUAACAAUGAACUGUAAGGUAAAUACAGAAUUUUAUUUGAAGAUGUUGCUCUGAUAAAAACGAAAAAUUACAUCAAAAUCUACUCUACUUCACAUGAGCAUAUGCCUCAUUGUACAGAAUUGGUGCUGGCAUUUACUCAGUUCCUGCAAUCUUCUUCUUCAACUGCUCGAUAUCUUCAGCCAGUUCUUUUCUACUUGACUUGAAGAGAAGGUAGCGGUAGACAAACCACCCGCUAUAUCCAAGACCUACCAACUCCAUGAUUUUUGGGAGCAAAGGAACUGAGUUGAUAGCACUAACAACAAUUGAAGACAGCCAAACUGCAACAAUUGCCCCACCUCCAUAAACUAUGACCGUAGACUUGUUGUCAAGAGCAUCCCACUUUUCUUUUAGAUCCGUCAACAAUUCACUAGUAUCAACAGCACCAGAUUCUUCUGAUGAAGAGGCUUUGACCUGGAGUAGCGAAGACCUCUUGGGCUCAGCAAUUUUGAGAGAAGAUGGGAAGGCAAUAGCAGAAAGACGGGAUGGAAGGUAAGGCAAGGCGGAGCAGCGAGCUGGGGCAGCUUUGGUGGUGGAGGAAAGUGGGAAAGGAGAGGCAAAGACGGCAGUAGCCGCCAUGGAAGUAGAAGCUGCUGCUGCUGCUGCCAUUUGGCCAAUCUUUUAGAAUCUUGGACUGAGUAUGCUUGGAUUCUUGGCCUCUCCUUCUUCUUGAUAUCCCCAAAAAGUACCCUUUUUUUUUUAAAAUCUUGUGAGAAAUUUUGUGUGCUU